CAGGGGAGGGCAUGCUCAGCAGAGGGAGAGGCACAAGCAAGACACAGAGACUGGAAAGUGCAGUGCAUGUUCAGAAAACAGUGUGGCAUCCAGUAGAAUGGAGUGAAGAGUUGGUGUAGUCUGGGAAAUAAUGGCAGAGAUAGCAAGAAAGGAAGCCUGAGGGAACAGUCAUAGAAAUUAUACCAUUUAUGUCAGACUGAAAAUGUAAGAUCUGAUGCAGCAUAUAAAUGUAGAGGUAGUUUAGUAAGGUUAAUUGUGGGAAGAGGAACAGUAUGGGAUGAAUUUCAGUAAGGAGCUUGAUGCAGAUGAGCAGGUAACCAUGGAAGUCGUGAGCUGAGGCUGCAGAGUCUAGAGCCAGAGUGUGGAAUAAACUUGGGUCUCAAAUCACCCCUGGAGCAAAGCCCCCAUCUAAUCAGGAACUUCUACUUUCAACUUUACAUGCGUGAGAAAUGAACUUCUAUCAUGUUAGAGAAAUCCUUACACGGCGCCCUUGAGAGCUUUCAUACUGCAAGUCAUCCAUUU
rnacentral:lncRNA from 1 species